UACGGGGGGGGCAAGCGUUGUUCGGAAUUACUGGGCGUAAAGGGCUCGUAGGCGGCCAACUAAGUCAUACGUGAAAUCCCCCGGCUUAACCGGGGAACUGCGUCUGAUACUGGAUGGCUUGAGUUCGGGAGAGGGAUGCGGAAUUCCAGGUGUAGCGGUGAAAUGCGUAGAUAUGCGGAGGAACACCGAUGGCGAAGGCAAUCCCCUGGGCCUGCACUGACGCUCAUGCACGAAAGCGUGGGGAGCAAACAGG
rnacentral:rRNA from 1 species